AGAGUUUGAUCCUGGCUCAGAACGAACGCUGACGGCAGGCUUAACACAUGCAAGUCGAACGAAGGCUUCGGCCUUAGUGGCGCACGGGUGAGUAGCACGUGGGAAUAUACCUCUCGGUGGGGAAUGACGUUGGGAAACUGACGCUAAUACCGCAUACGCCCUUAGGGGGAAAGAUUUAUCGCCGAGAGAUUAGCCCGCGUCCGAUUAGCUAGUUGGUGAGGUAAAAGCUCACCAAGGCGACGAUCGGUAGCUGGUCUGAGAGGAUGAUCAGCCACACUGGGACUGAGACACGGCCCAGACUCCUACGGGAGGCAGCAGUGGGGAAUAUUGGACAAUGGGCGCAAGCCUGAUCCAGCCAUGCCGCGUGAGUGAUGAAGGCCUUAGGGUCGUAAAGCUCUUUCGACGGGGACGAUGAUGACGGUACCCGUAGAAGAAGCCCCGGCUAACUUCGUGCCAGCAGCCGCGGUAAU
rnacentral:rRNA from 1 species